CCAUUUGGUGUGCCCUGACUCUGAAUGUUUCUCCCUGCAGCCCCCUGCAGAGGCCAGCUCCUCUGCUGCAGCCAGACCAAAGCCGGACAAGAAGCCCCUCCGCAGUGCAGACUACAGUCCCCUGAGUGGACAGGAGGGGGGCUCCUGCACCUUCAGGCCUGGCAGGAGGGGGCCGUCAGCUGGUGGAUGAGGUUAAAGAAGGUCAGAGAUGUUGAUCUGUAUGACCUUUGACCUCUGACAUCUUGAUGUGCAAACUGACUGGAGGGGGCUCAAACUUCACCGAGAUGUUGUUGUUUUUUGACUCCUGUUUGAUUCCUUAUUUACUCUGUAAUCUCUCAAAGAUAACCGAUAAUCGUCCAUUGUGCAUCUUGAAGUUGAGAGCUUGUAAUGAUGCCAUUCCUGUAAGCGGUGUUACCAGCAGGUUUGGCUGAUGAACUUCAGUCAGUGUGUUUUUUCUCAUGUGUUUGAAUAUGUUUCCAUUAAUGUGUUCCACCUACGCUUUUAACAUGUAUGUUGCUAGAGAAGUUGUAGCUAGUGGACAUGUGGUUGAUUAUUAAAAAUACUACAUUCAGUUAAUGUUUGGAUCCAUCAAAA